rnacentral:rRNA from 1 species
UACGUAGGGUGCGAGCGUUAAUCGGAUUUACUGGGCGUAAAGCGUGCGCAGGCGGCCCGUUAAGACAGGUGUGAAAUCCCUGGGCUCAACCUAGGAAUUGCGCUUGUGACUGGCGGGCUCGAGUACGGUAGAGGGGGGUGGAAUUCCUGGUGUAGCAGUGAAAUGCGUAGAGAUCAGGAGGAACACCGAUGGCGAAGGCGGCCCCCUGGACAAAGACUGACGCUCAGGCACGAAAGCGUGGGGAGCAAACAGG